rnacentral:misc_RNA from 1 species
CACUUCUGGUCUUCUUGUGCCUCAAAUAAGAAUAGGAAUGUGCUUCUCAAAAUUUUGUUGGAAAGUUGAAGAGCACCACUUGUACUCACUCUGUUACAUGCAUCUGGGUGCCCCUAAAAUAUGGUAUGGCAUCCCAGGGAGGCAUAAUGUUAAGUUUAAGGCUCUUCUGAAGAAACAGCUUCCAGAUAUGUUAGCGGAACAACCUAAAUUGCGGGACAGGCUGGCC